rnacentral:rRNA from 1 species
GGAGGAAAAGAAACCAACAGGGAUUKCCUCAGUAACGGCGAGUGAAGCGGCAACAGCUCAGAUUUGAAAUCCGGCCCCCAGGCCCGAGUUGUAAUCUGCAGAGGAUGCUUCGGGGCGGCCCCCGGUCCAAGCCCCUUGGAACAGGGCGUCGUAGAGGGUGAGGAUCCCGUCCACGGCCGGGCGGACCGCCCCGUGCGAAGCUCCUUCGACGAGUCGAGUUGUUUGGGAAUGCAGCUCCAAACGGGAGGCAUAUUCCUCCCAAGGCUAAAUACCGGCCGGAGACCGAUAGCGCACAAGUAGAGUGAUCGAAAGAUGAAAAGCACUUUGGAAAGAGAGUUAAAAAGUACGUGAAAUUGUCGAAAGGGAAGCGUCUGCGGCCAGACCUGGUGGCGGUUGCUCAGCCGGCCCUUCGGGGCCGGCGCACUCUCCCGCCACCUGGCCAGCAUCGGUCCGGGCGGCCGGACAAAGGCCCCGGGAACGUGGCCCCCUCGCGGGGUGUUAUANCCCGGGGCACAAUGCGGCCCGCCCGGACCGAGGACAGCGUCCGCUAGGAUGCUGG